ensembl:lncRNA
GUUGAUGACAUCACCAGUCUAUAUAAAAAGGCAGGAUAUUAAAGGAUUUGUUCAAUCUGAAAUGACACCCUCUAUAGGGCCGUACGUUGGAGCAGGAGAGCACCAUGAAAGGGGACGUUAUUUAGGACAUUAUUUCUGUCUGUAUAAAAUCGGAACCAGUGAUUUGCCAGUUACAACAGGAAAUGAGAGGCAGUAUUAAUGUGAUUGGUCAGUUAUAACAGGAAACAAGACAGUAUUAACGUGAUUGGCCAGUUACAACAGGAAAUGAGACAGUAUUAAUGUGAUUGGCCAGUUAUAACAGGAAAUGAGGCAGUAUUAAUGUGAUUGGUCAGUUACAACAGGAAAUAAAACCGGCAGCAUCAAAACGUAUUGAUUAUCAAUGAUUGUCCUCGUAGAGGAAGAAUGGUAGAUAGGGAGGAGGGGGGUUGAUGCUGA